rnacentral:rRNA from 1 species
UCGGGCGAGCGGCGGACGGGUUAGUAACGCGUGKGAACGUGCCCAGAUCUACGGAAUAGCCACUGGAAACGGUGAGUAAUACCGUAUACGCCCUUCGGGGGAAAGAUUUAUCGGAUUUGGAUCGGCCCGCGUUAGAUUAGGUAGUUGGUGGGGUAACGGCCUACCAAGCCUACGAUCUAUAGCUGGUUUUAGAGGAUGAUCAGCAACACUGGGACUGAGACACGGCCCAGACUCCUACGGGAGGCAGCAGUGGGGAAUCUUGGACAAUGGGGGCAACCCUGAUCCAGCCAUGCCGCGUGAGUGAAGAAGGCCCUAGGGUCGUAAAACUCUUUCGCCUGUGAUGAUAAUGACAGUAGCAGGUAAAGAAACCCCGGCUAACUCCGUGCCAGCAGCCGCGGUAAUACGGAGGGGGUUAGCGUUGUUCGGAAUUACUGGGCGUAAAGCGCACGUAGGCGGAUUAGAAAGUUAGAGGUGAAAUCCCGGGGCUCAACCCCGGAACUGCCUUUAAAACUACUAGUCUAGAGUUCGAGAGAGGUGAGUGGAAUUCCGAGUGUAGAGGUGAAAUUCGUAGAUAUUCGGAGGAACACCAGUGGCGAAGGCGGCUCACUGGCUCGAUACUGACGCUGAGGUGCGAAAGUGUGGGGAGCAAACAGGAUUAGAUACCCUGGUAGUCCACACCGUAAACGAUGAAUGCCAGUCGUCGGGUAGUAUACUAUUCGGUGACACACCUAACGGAUUAAGCAUUCC